AUCAUGACAAUUCGGGACUGAUUCGCGAUUUGGGUGUAACUUAUUUUGUAACAAACAUUGGAAGGCUAAUUCCUGCUUAUUAAAGUAUUUCCUGAGAAAACGAUAACAAAAUGUUUGUUUACUAAAUAAGUUACGUCCAAAUCGCAGAUCAGUCCCGAAUUAUUAGGUACAGGACUGAAAUGAAAGUAUCAGCAGCAAACUUCUUAUAAUUUAUUACAUUUUCGGUUAAACAAAUUUGUAUUUACAAAAGAAAAUCUAAGGAAAGUAUAACCAAAUAUUGGGCAAAUUCUAAUGAUGAUACCGAUGACGAGACUGAAAUAGAACCAUACGACAUUCUUUGCUUUUGUGUUUUACGGAAGCAAAAUGUUACGGUUUUGUUUGAGAUUAUUCUGGCGGCUGAUUCGAAUUUGUCUAACUCUUUGGAUGUUAUCCAAAAUUGCUGUUAGAAUUGAUAAAUAAUUUUUAUUUUGUUUUCAGAAAUAUGGAUUCACUUCACGAUUCACGGUAACACAACGCUAACAAUCUUUCUACAUUUCUCAGCAUUGAUUGUUGCCAUAUGUAUGUCUACAUUCAGCUAGACAGAAAGAAAUAAGGAUUUGCUUCACAAUUCACGGCAACAUAACGCUAACAAAAUUUCUCCAUUUCUCAGCAUUGAUUGUUUCCAUUCAACAAGACAAAAGAGGAAAUAGAUGGACACAUGCUGAAAUAUAUUUCCUGGGUUAUUGUGAUGGUGCCUUCAAAUAGUUUCCCCAAGAUUUUAUGUUCAUCAUCUCGAUAUUUCUAUGACUCGAUGGUCCGUUCAAUAUCGACUAAACAACUGACUGCGUUGACUUUAUAACUGUGCUAUGCAACGGAGCAAAAAUGAAUUCUGCAAUCAGCCAGUAAGACGGAAACAGAGGUAUGAUCGAAUGUCGUUUGACAUUCUACAAAAUCAAAGGGAAAAUUAUGCUUGUUUGUUAUUUGAAUGUUCUAUCCAUCGUAAACGAAUGCUCUAUCCAUCGUAAACAGCGUAACAGUUUUUCGUGGUUUUUUAUUUGUUUCGCAUAUAGGUACAGUGACCGGCAUAAUAAAGAGCCCAUUUGGCGUUUUUCAUACAAAAUGGUCAACUUUGGGUGUGAACCAAUUUAACAGAGCUCAGAUAUAACUUUAUUUUUACCACACCUAGGUUACACCUAAGAAUCGACCAUAUUGAUUCACAGGGUAAAAAAUUAUUGCGGUAUUAUCAAAAUUAGAAAUACUCGAAUAAGAGAUCGGCGAAGACGCCAUCUUGUUUCCAAUCGAACCGUCAAAAGCGGUUCCAAUUCGAUUUGUUUACUUUUUGCUUCCAUAAGAAGCAAGCAAAAAGUUCAAGUGCUGCCAGUAUUAUUUUCACGAUUUCAUGCAUUUUCAUACGUUGCCAUUUCGACAGUUUUUCACUCCGCCGGUCUCUGGUUAUAGGGUUGCUAAUCAAAAUUAUUCUAAAGCUUGUAAACUGAUUACAUAUUCAGCGAAAAAGAGUAUUUUGCCAUACAAAACAAUUUGCUGUGUAGAAAGAAUUGAAGUUUUCAAGAUAUUUAAAAAUCUAUUGCCAAGAAAUUCGUUUUGGUAUUACCGCAAUAAUUUUUUACCUUAUGAAAUAGCAUGGUCGAAACUUAGGUAUGGUAAAAGCUUUUCGCCAACCUAAUGUUGAAUGGAAUUUUUGAAACGGUAAUGAUAGGCAAAACUUGCCCCUUUUGAAAGAGUUACAUACUAAUUACUAUCGAACAAUUACUAAUACAAAACCAUGAAAAACAAUCCUUUCAGCGGAAACAACACCCGCGAACCCACAUACAAUGUUGAAGUCCAUUAGUCUGACAAUAAUAGAACAAAAUCUGGCAAACCCUUCUUUCCCCUUUCUGCAGUAUGCGGAUAAAUACUGAUGAUGAUGAUGAUGAUGGUGAUACUACCAUCUAUUGUAGCAAGGCACCUGCCGAUAGCACUGGCCAUAUCUGACAAACGAUUUGAUCAUGAUUAUACUAUUGUAUGUAUUUCAUCAAACUCCUGUAUGAAGGGCCAAAAAUGGGUGGGGUGGUUCCAUAAGCAAAGACACUUAUGCGAAUCCACGGGAUAAAUACAGAAUCUCCUUCCAGAAGAAAGUUCGUACAUACAAUAAUAUAAUCUAGCCCUCGUUGCCCAGAUUGACCCAAUAGAUGGGGAGAAGAGCCCGCCCUUUAUCCACGAGAUGUCAACAAUAGGAAGUUGGCGAUUCCACUCUUCCUAUCCAAAUCGCUUCAAUCGGGUGCCCUGAUGGUUUUUUUCGUAAAUAAUCAUAUAAUUUGGUAAAUAUUUAUAUGUAUAUAUAUCAUGUAUAAAGGAAUUCUCUCACCAAAUUUUAAAUCGCAUGUCCUGGAUGAGGGAGGACCUUGCUUCAUCAGCUAGUUUUAGAUUUGUGCUGUCUUCAGAGAUGGAAAACCAAUAGUUGGGAAUAUUCUUUGUUCUUGUUUAUUGUUCAUGUUUGUUCUUGAAAAAUAUACUUCUUGAUUUCUGAAAAGAUGAAAUAAAAGGACAGAUGGCAAUAUCAUAGAUAAUAACAUUAGCGUCUUGAUUAAAAUGAAUAUGAAAUCUGAUUUUUAUGCAGUAUGCGGAUAAAUACUAUGCAGAAAAUGGAAAAAUAACAUACCGUCUAACGGGGUCACUUAAAAUUUUAAAUGACAAGCAAAUAACAUGAUGAUUUUUCUCGAAAACGAUUUCUUCCUGUUGAAAUCUUUGAAAAAGUCGUGGGCGGAGAAGGUUAACAUAAGAUUCUUCAAGAUGACCUUUAGCGUUCAAACGGGUUUUUAUUUUGGUUGAAUGACAUAAAUAAACAAAAUUAAAUAUGA